ACCUUAGAGACCAACUAAAGUUGCUCUAGGUAUAAGCUUUCAUGUGCAUGCACACUUCUUUUGUGCAUGCACAUCAAAGCUUAUACCUAGAACAACCUUAGUUGGUCUCUAAGGU